rnacentral:lncRNA from 1 species
GAAAAUGUAGCUGUUGGAAAUUUACUAUGGUUGGAAUAAUAUGUGCUGGUUUGCUUUAUUAUUAGUUUAUGUUGUCUCCAUUUUUUUUUAACUGGUUGCUUUUCAUUAAUUAAGCUGCACAUACUAAUAAAUGCUAGCAAUUUGAUCUCAAAAGCAUCUUGAUUUUAUUCUAUUUGAUGCUAAGAAUGCUCUGAAUAUAUUUGAUCACACUUAAAUCCAUGUUCUUAGCCAGCUUCCAUAUUUUAUGACUUGCAUUGUGCCCUCCGCAUGUUUCUUGUUGUCGGUUGGCUUAGGCAUUAUUCAUGUUUGAGGUUGUCAUAGGUUUGCUAUUAUCAUCACCGAACUUUUGUUUUCUAGAUUAUUUUUUUAACCUUUAAGUGUUUACAUACAUUUUGU